GCAUUGGUGCAAUGCAUUCAGUUUGCUGAAAAGUCCAUAUAAAGUUAUUAAAGCUUUUGUUGAAAUCCAUUCUACCUACAAUAUAAAGAAUAUUAUAUACUUCAACUGGAUGCUAAAUCUCCAUUAUUUCCAGGAAGCAAAGACAUCUCUAUCAUGCGUAACAAGGGUUUUGUAAGUGCAAUACAAUUCCUGGAUCCCUUGGUUUCUGUUUACUACCCUAACUCAACAGAAUUGAGAAAAGACAUGUAUCUAACGUGGGUAAUGGUUUUUAUAUAAGUGGCAUAAAUACACUUCCUGGAUCUCAUGGUUUCUGUUUAGUAUCCAACUGAGAAUGAAGCAAGAUCAUCAAUAUUACAUGUAUAUCAAGACAGAGGUUCAUGGUUUCUCAUGAAGUAUUUCAUUAGCAAAAAGAUUACCUCUACUGAAUGAUCCCAUAUUCGAGAGUUUUUUUAAAUUGGAGUGAGGAGUUAGCAGAAGGAGAGAAACGUCAAGCAUUGACUAAAGGUCGUUGUUUGUAACCAAAUGAGACUAGAAUUAACUAUGGCAGCUAAAAUACUCCCAAGUAAAGUAUUAAGACAGUGCAUCGGAAUUCCUUCAAUCUCAUCAUUUUUGCAAUAUUGAUGAUGUGCAGGGGUAACUAAAUUCAGGUAUGCUUGUGUGAGAUGCGUUAGUUAAGUGUCAGUAAUGAGUUACAGUUGUGAUAAUAAGAUGAGUCAUACCACCUGGUGAUCAGUGUUCAACUGGGUUACUAUUCCCUGACAUACUGUCAUAAUCUAUUUCUGGUUCCUUACAGUAUGAGCUAGUAUGGAUUCACAGAUAUCAGUCUUUAAAUCCAGUUCAUAUAACUUGAUUGAGCAUCAACAAAUAAUAAUUUUCAGAAGAACAAUCUUUUCAUCGGAUUUUGAAUGAAAAUAUCAGAAAAACAAAUUAUAAAUAAUUUGUUCUAUUUAUCUUGAGAAAUAAGUCGGUUUUUAAACAGAAAAAUUAGACAAAAAUUAUAUUACAUAGUAAGUUCCUACAUGUAGGUUAAUGAAAUAUUAUAAUUAAUGUGGAUUCAAUGCAAAACAAAACAAAAUGUACCUUUCGAUUUUCAUUGGUAGGCAAUUUUUCUUGUUGAGGCGGCCAUACCUCACGAUGACUAUGUCCAGUAUGGCAAUUUCUGCCUUGAUGAAUCUAUGCGAGCAAAGAAAAGAUAAACUGUUUAACACAACAACAUUUUAUACACUGAUUUUGAGUGUUCUCAGAAAUGCUUACCACAAUUCCUUGAAGGGUGUACGAUGCACUCUCUCCAUGCUUGAUUGAUCCGGAAAGUCGAGUUUUCUUUCUAUUUUAAUUGGUCGGCAAUUUUUCUUUUCUAGACCAUAUCUCAUCAUAACUAAAAAAAGUGUGGACGGGAAGAGUAGAAUAGGCCUAACCCUACCGGUUUUAGUGUUUUUCUUGCAUCUGUCGCAGUACCUGUCAACAAAAAUAUUUUUGCCAUAGAGGUCAUACCUCCUCAUUACCAAAUAAAGAGUGGCGGGAGGGAAUAGAGUUCCUUACAUUAUUAGCUUGUACGGAUUCACAGAUAUUCUUUAAAUCCAAUGAUAAUUUUUAGAACAACAACCUUUUCAUCAUAUUUUGGAUGAACUAUCAAAAAAACAAAUCAAAUAUUUUUUUAAAUUUAUCUUGAGAAGUUGGUUUUUCAGCAUUCUGUGUCAAGAGAAAAGAAUAGAUAGGUUUUUCUGUUCGUUGCGAGUAUAGUCAUAAACUAUAAUUCAAGAAAACUGUUGAAAACUGUUGUCAUCAAGGCACAUUUUCUCAUCUCAUUUGUACCCUUAUUUUCAUCCUACAUUAACAUUCGGCCAUCAGCUGUUAAUUUUCACUUGAUCAAAAGUUUUGGUCAUAUUAUAGUUCGGAUAAGGAAGCAAUCUCUUAAAUACAAAAGGAUCAUCAAUAAAAAGUAAUCAUA